AACGUAGGACGCAAGCGUUAUCCGGAGUUACUGGGCGUAAAGCGCGGGCAGGCGGUCUUGCCAGUCUGAUGUGAAAUCUCCUCGCUCAACGGGGAGCAACCAUUGGAAACUACAAGACUGGAGUCUGGCAGAGGUAGGCGGAAUUCCGGGUGGAGUGGUGAAAUGCGUAGAGAUCCGGAGGAACACCAGAGGCGAAGGCGGCCUACUGGGCCAGUACUGACGCUGAGCCGCGAAAGCCAGGGGAGCGAACGGG
rnacentral:rRNA from 1 species